GAGAUUUUAAUGCGUUUUGUCACUGAGAGAAAGUAAUGCUUCAGUCUCUAUAUAAUGCUCAAAGUUAGUUUUUACAACACAAUCCUUCUUAAAAUGGAAAUGCAUAAGAAAUAUAAUAGAAAGCGUACUUUGAAUAAAUUUCUCAGAUACCUAAGUUGAGGGCAGAGAAAGGAUUAGUCGAAUGAGCCCAUCUCUCUGGCCUAUCAUUUGUUGGUCGAUCCGGCUGGCGGCUCCUGCAUCUCCUGCCUCUCUAUGGGGGCCCCUUUUUUUAGACUAGUUUGCUGCUAGGAGUCCCUAGAGUCGAAUUAAUAAUCAAUAGAAGUCCCAAUCUGCCUCUCUAUGGGGGCCCCUUUUUUAAGACUAGUUUGCAGAGUCAAUAGCGAGAGAAAGAAGGGAAGACGGAUCGAUUCUCAUUCAUGCAUUCUUUUAUUGAUUCACUUUAAUCACUCUGAUACUUUCUCCUUUUGCUAACACAUGCGACAGAUCAGUAGAACAAAGCAAGAAUUUGUUUACAUCUAAAGAUAACUUGUAUUGGAAGCUACUCAAAAAUUCGUAGUGCCUAUUCUAAAUUUCACAAAUUUUAUAGUAGUUCUUUACCUCUAUUUUUAAAACUA
rnacentral:lncRNA from 1 species